rnacentral:rRNA from 1 species
UCAAGCGAACAAGUGCAUGUGGUGGAUGCCUUGGCGAUCACAGGCGAUGAAGGACGCGGUAGCCUGCGAAAAGCUACGGGGAGCUGGCAAACGAGCUUUGAUCCGUAGAUGUCCGAAUGGGGAAACCCGGCCCUUUUGGGUCAUCCUGGACUGAAUACAUAGGUCCAGUGAAGCGAACGCGGUGAACUGAAACAUCUAAGUAACCGCAGGAAAAGAAAUCAACCGAGAUUCCCAAAGUAGUGGCGAGCGAAAUGGGAUGAGCCUUGCACUCUUUAUUUGUAUUGUUAGCCGAACGCUCUGGAAAGUGCGGCCAUAGCAGGUGAUAGCCCUGUAGGCGAAAACAGUAUGAAAGAACUAGGUGUGCGACAAGUAGGGCGGGACACGUGAAAUCCUGUCUGAAGAUGGGGGGACCAUCCUCCAAGGCUAAAUACUCGUGAUCGACCGAUAGUGAACCAGUACCGUGAGGGAAAGGCGAAAAGAACCCCGGGAGGGGAGUGAAAUAGAUCCUGAAACCGCAUGCAUACAAACAGUCGGAGCCUCGCAAGGGGUGACGGCGUACCUUUUGUAUAAUGGGUCAGCGACUUACGUUCAGUAGCAAGCUUAACCGUAUAGGGCAGGCGUAUCGAAAGCAAGUCCGAAUAGGGCGUUCAGUUGCUGGGCGUAGACCCGAAACCAGGUGAUCUAUCCAUGGCCAGGAUGAAGGUGCGGUAACACGUACUGGAGGUCCGAACCCACUAACGUUGAAAAGUUAGGGGAUGAGCUGUGGAUAGGGGUGAAAGGCUAAACAAACCUGGAAAUAGCUGGUUCUCUCCGAAAACUAUUUAGGUAGUGCCUCGUGUCUCACCUUCGGGGGUAGAGCACUGUCAUGGUUGGGGGGUCUAUUGCAGAUUACCCCGCCAUAGCAAACUCCGAAUACCGAAGAGUGCAAUCACGGGAGACAGACAUCGGGUGCUAACGUCCGGUGUCAAGAGGGAAACAACCCAGACCGCCAGCUAAGGUCCCCAAAUAUAGCUAAGUGGGAAACGAAGUGGGAAGGCUAAAACAGUCAGGAGGUUGGCUUAGAAGCAGCCACCCUUUAAAGAAAGCGUAAUAGCUCACUGAUCGAGUCGUCCUGCGCGGAAGAUGUAACGGGGCUAAGCUAUAUACCGAAGCUGCGGAUGCGAGCUUGCUCGCAUGGUAGGAGAGCGUUCCGUAAGCCUGCGAAGGUGCCUUGUAAAGGGUGCUGGAGGUAUCGGAAGUGCGAAUGCUGACAUGAGUAGCGAUAAAGGGGGUGAAAGGCCCCCUCGCCGUAAGCCCAAGGUUUCCUACGCAACGUUCAUCGGCGUAGGGUGAGUCGGCCCCUAAGGCGAGGCAGAAAUGCGUAGCUGAUGGGAAGCAGGUCAAUAUUCCUGCACCAUUGUUAGAUGCGAUGGGGGGACGGAUCGCGGAAGGUUGUCCGGGUGUUGGAAGUCCCGGUCGCUGCAUUGGAGAAGGCGCUUAGGCAAAUCCGGGCGCGCAAUUCAAGGGUGUGGCGCGAGCUCCUUAGGGAGCGAAGCAAUUGGAAGUGGUUCCAAGAAAAGCCUCUAAGCUUCAGUCUAACGAUGACCGUACCGCAAACCGACACAGGUGGGCGAGAUGAGUAUUCUAAGGCGCUUGAGAGAACUCGGGAGAAGGAACUCGGCAAAUUGGUACCGUAACUUCGGGAUAAGGUACGCCCUUGUAGCUUGACUGGCCUGCGCCAGGAGGGUGAAGGGGUUGCAAUAAACUGGUGGCUGCGACUGUUUAAUAAAAACACAGCACUCUGCAAACACGAAAGUGGACGUAUAGGGUGUGACGCCUGCCCGGUGCCGGAAGAUUAAAUGAUGGGGUGCAAGCUCUUGAUUGAAGUCCCGGUAAACGGCGGCCGUAACUAUAACGGUCCUAAGGUAGCGAAAUUCCUUGUCGGGUAAGUUCCGACCUGCACGAAUGGCGUAACGAUGGCCACACUGUCUCCUCCCGAGACUCAGCGAAGUUGAAGUGUUUGUGAUGAUGCAAUCUACCCGCGGCUAGACGGAAAGACCCCAUGAACCUUUACUGUAGCUUUGCAUUGGACUUUGAACCGAUCUGUGUAGGAUAGGUGGGAGGCUAUGAAACCGGAACGCUAGUUUCGGUGGAGCCGUCCUUGAAAUACCACCCUGGUUUGUUUGAGGUUCUAACCUUGGCCCGUGAUCCGGGUCGGGGACAGUGCAUGGUAGGCAGUUUGACUGGGGCGGUCUCCUCCCAAAGCGUAACGGAGGAGUACGAAGGUACGCUAGGUACGGUCGGAAAUCGUGCUGAUAGUGCAAUGGCAUAAGCGUGCUUAACUGCGAGACCGACAAGUCGAGCAGGUGCGAAAGCAGGUCAUAGUGAUCCGGUGGUUCUGUAUGGAAGGGCCAUCGCUCAACGGAUAAAAGGUACUCUGGGGAUAACAGGCUGAUACCGCCCAAGAGUUCAUAUCGACGGCGGUGUUUGGCACCUCGAUGUCGGCUCAUCUCAUCCUGGGGCUGUAGCCGGUCCCAAGGGUAUGGCUGUUCGCCAUUUAAAGAGGUACGUGAGCUGGGUUUAAAACGUCGUGAGACAGUUUGGUCCCUAUCUGCCGUGGGCGUUGGAUAUUUGAAGGGGGCUGCUCCUAGUACGAGAGGACCGGAGUGGACGAACCUCUGGUGUACCGGUUGUCACGCCAGUGGCAUCGCCGGGUAGCUAUGUUCGGAAGAGAUAACCGCUGAAAGCAUCUAAGCGGGAAACUCGCCUUAAGAUGAGAUAUCCCUGGAGGCUAGACCUCCUUGAAGGGUCGUUCGAGACCAGGACGUUGAUAGGUCAGGUGUGUAAGCGCAGUAAUGCGUUCAGCUAACUGAUACUAAUUGCCCGUAAGGCUUGAUCC